rnacentral:rRNA from 1 species
UACAGAGGGUGCGAGCGUUAAUCGGAAUUACUGGGCGUAAAGCGUGCGUAGACGGUCAUGUAAGUCGGGUGUGAAAGCCCCGGGCUCAACCUGGGAAUUGCAUUCGAGACUGCAUGGGCUAGGAUGCGGAAGAGGGAAGCGGAAUUUCCGGUGUAGCGGUGAAAUGCGUAGAUAUCUGGAGGAACACCGGUGGCGAAGGCGGCAUCCUGGACCGGUAUUGACGCUGAGGCGCGAAAGCCAGGGGAGCAAACGGG